rnacentral:misc_RNA from 1 species
GAAAUGCGAUAAGUAAUGUGAAUUGCAGAAUUCAGUGAAUCAUCGAAUCUUUGAACGCACAUUGCGCCCGCCAGUAUUCUGGCGGGCAUGCCUGUCCGAGCGUCAUUUCAACCAUCAAGCCCCCGGGCUUGUGUUGGGGGCCUGCGGCUGCCCGCAGGCCCUGAAAACCAGUGGCGGGCUCGCUGUCACACCGAGCGUAGUAGCAAUCACCUCGCUCAGGGAGUGCUGCGGGUUCCGGCCGUUAAACAGCCUUACAAAACCCAAGGUUGACCUCGGAUCAGGUAGGAAGACCCGCUGAACUUAAGC